GACCCAGCUCUCUGAAUGUACUGCAUCUUCUAGGAGAGCAGGAAGGUUUGCUUGACAAUUAUCCAGUUUCUUGCAAGAGGCUAACUCUCCAGAAAGACCUUGGAAUGAUCACAGAAAUCAACACUUGGAUGCUACUAUCUUCGACUUCCUUCUUCCUCUAUGGGGCAGAACCAGUGUGCAUAUUGUAAGGAAGGACAUUGGGCUAAAGAGUACUCCAAGAACAGGAAUAAAAGAGGCAGGGGCCUCCAAGGAGCCACCACCCACUCCAACCAGCCUCACAAAGAGACAAGUGAAGCAGAAGGUGAAGAGCCUGACCACUCAGCUCCAGGUGAUGACGGCCCAAUGGAAUGAUCUGAGAGAUCGCCUCAUCUUAGUAACUGAAGGAUCCUUGGAC